rnacentral:rRNA from 1 species
CACGUAGGGCGCAAGCGUUGUCCGGAAUUAUUGGGCGUAAAGGGCUCGUAGGCGGUCUGGUGCGUCAGCUGUGAAAUCUCGGGGCUUAACCCCGAGCCUGCAGUGGAUACGGGCAGACUAGAGGGAGGUAGGGGAGAAUGGAAUUCCCGGUGUAGCGGUGAAAUGCGCAGAUAUCGGGAGGAACACCGGUGGCGAAGGCGGCUUCUUGGGCCUGGACUGACGCUGAGGCGCGAAAGCUGGGGGAGCGAACGGG